rnacentral:misc_RNA from 2 species
AAGUCGUAACAAGGUUUCCGUAGGUGAACCUGCGGAAGGAUCAUUACAGAGUUCAUGCCCUAACGGGUAGACCUCCCACCCUUUGUUAUACCUACCUUUGUUGCUUUGGCGGGCCGCCUUCGGGCUAUCGGCUUCGGCUGGUGCGCGCCCGCCAGAGAACCCCAAAUUCUGAAUUAUAAUGUCGUCUGAGUACUAUAUAAUAGUUAAAACUUUCAACAACGGAUCUCUUGGUUCUG